GCGCCCCCGCUCUGCCCCUCUGCCACGCUCGGGCACCAGGUAACGACAGGGCUGGGGCGCCCCGGCUCUGCCCCUCUGCCACGCCGGCCCCCGGGAGGCUGGGGCACCAGGUAACGACAGGGCUGGGGCGCCCCGGCUCUGCCCCUCUGCCACGCCGGCCCCCGGGAGGCUGGGGCACCAGGUAACGACAGGGCUGGGGCGCCCCGGCUCUGCCCCUCUGCCACGCCGGCCCCCGGGAGGCUGGGGGACCAGGUAACGACAGGGCUGGGGCGCCCCGGCUCUGCCCCUCUGCCACGCUGGGGGACCAGGUAACGACAGGGCUGGGGCGCCCCCGCUCUGCCCCUCUGCCACGCUGGGGGACCAGGUAACGACAGGGCUGGGGCGCCCCCGCUCUGCCCCUCUGCCACGCUGGGGGACCAGGUAACGACAGGGCUGGGGCGCCCCCGCUCUGCCCCUCUGCCACGCUGGGGGACCAGGUAACGACAGGGCUGGGGCGCCCCCGCUCUGCCCCUCUGCCACGCUGGGGGACCAGGUAACGACAGGGCUGGGGCGCCCCCGCUCUGCCCCUCUGCCACGCUGGGGGACCAGGUAACGACAGGGCUGGGGCGCCCCCGCUCUGCCCCUCUGCCACGCUGGGGGACCAGGUAA